CACGUAGGCACCAAGCGUUAUCCGGAUUUAUUGGGCGUAAAGAGCUCGUAGGCGGUUCGGUAAGUCGGGUGUGAAAACUCUGGGCUCAACAGAGAGGCCACCCGAUACUGCUGUGACUAGAGUGCGGUAGGGGAGCGGGGAAUUCCCGGUGGUAGGCGGGGAAAUGCGCAGAGUAAUCGGGGAAGAACACCCGUGGCGGAAGGCGGCUCUCUGGGACGGUACUGGACGCUGAGACGCGAAAGCGUGGGGAGCGAACAGGA
rnacentral:rRNA from 1 species